rnacentral:rRNA from 1 species
GACGGAGAUGCAAGUGUUAUCCGGAAUCACUGGGCGUAAAGCGUCUGUAGGUCGUUUAAAAGUCUACUGUUAAAAAUUGAAGCUUACUCAAAGAUGCCGUAGAAACUUUAAACUUGAGUAUGGUAGGGGUAGAGGGAAUUUCCAGUGGAGCGGUGAAAUGCGUAGAUAUUGGAAAAGACCACCAAUGGCGAAGGCACUCUCAGACUGGGCCCAUUACGUGACACUCGAGAGCACGAAAGCUAGGGGGGGGGAGCAAAUGGGG